CUUUUAUAAGCAAAAAUUCCAUUGGAGGAAACUGUAGUGGCUAGUGGUUUCUCACUGGCUGAGUUCUAACGGUCUCUCAUUGGCCGGGCUGUUGCCAGGACAGGAGAAAUGUCUUCCUAAGGGGAGAAGGCAGUGGGUGAUCUCUCACAAGGCCGCCGUCUUCUGGUUGGUCAGCCAUGACUAUGAGUGGUGCUGUGACUAUGUGGACGCGAGGGCGCCCCCUGCUGACCUCCCGGCUCCACUUUAAGUGGGGUUUCCUUUAUUAAUUUUCACAUAACAAAACCAGCCCGUCUGAGCAGAGAGGGAGGAUAUUUCCAGACUGGCUCAGGGACAGGUGAGGAGGCGUGCCAGGGGGCCGCUGUCUUUCUCCCGCGGAGAUGUGCGCGCAGUGGCGCUGCUGCUCUCCCAGACGUCCAUCCGUGCUCUGGGUCUCUAAGAAAUGGGAAAUGUGAGCGAGCCAUUGGCACCAAUGAUACAUCAGUCCUGUGCCUGUAGGUCAAAGGCAUUGCAAAGGAAGAGCAUUCCCAAGAGGCAAAGAGACAGAAAGACGGAGGGAAAGGGAGAGAGAGAAGAGCAAAUGAACUGGGAGCUAGAAUUGAAAGUGGUUGUAGGAAGUAACGGUGUCCCUGCAUUCUGAAUAAAAAGCAGUCACAGGAGGAUCAUGGUGGCAGUUUUCAAAGGCAGUCAGUGUCCACUCUUCAAACCUUGGGGACAUUAAGAAGGAACUGAAGCCAAAUUUGGAUCUAAUCUGAUGGGAUCCACUUGGUGGACACUUGAACAACUCAUUAUUUGAAGUGUGACCAGCAAACCCACACUGUGAAUAUCAGACCUCAGGGACUUUGCACAUGCUCUACUGUCAUCUUUAGAAGCCUUUUAAAGCCUUUUCCUGCUUUCUCUACUUGGAGAAGUCCAACCAUGCUUCAAAGCUCAGGACAAGAGAUCCUCCUGCAGCAAAGUCUCCUGCAGCACAUCCUCCAAUCCUACAAUCCAGGCCAGCAGAAAUUUUCUCUUUAUUUCCUAUCUCUGUCUUUGCUACUCUCCUAUCACUCAACCUUUGAUGAUGUUGCCAAUCUUGAGUUUCUUAUUGAGUAGGGAUUGUAUAUUUUGAUAUUGUCUUGAUAUUGUCAGACUCUAGAUUAGAACCAGGCAUAUAAAAAAGUGCAAUAAAAAUGGUUGAAAGAAUGAUGAAAAGAGUGUGCCAUAGUUUGCACACUUCCAGUGAUGGGGAUCUUACUCUAUUAUGAUGAAGCCUACAUAGUGGUCAUGUUCAUUAUAAAAUAAUUCAGCAUGUGAUCAAGAUGCAAUGAAGACGUGAUAACUCCAUACUAGUAGGAGUCAUGUAUUCUCAACUAGAACCAAACACCUGAUCGCUGGGCACUGAUUCUAAAGAGCCUUUUUUGAACCACUAUUUUUUUGUUUUCCUACUGGAGAGAUUUUGCAGGUUUUUAUGAAUCAUGUUGCAGAUAAACAUUUUAGCUAUAUGUGAACAUGACAUUAUUAACAAAUCAGAAGUAACAUUUUUGAAUACUAACUUGAAUGUUUUGUUAAAAUAAAAAGUCACAUGAAAACUGUUUUUUUUUAAAUUUUGGGACUGGAAUAAAUGUUCCUGGUGAUUUAGGGUGCUUUUUAAUAUUCAGAACUGCUUUUAAAUUUGGAAUUUUACUUUAAUCCAAGGAGAGUAUUCUUUUUAAAGUACAAAAUUAAGAAGUAAAAUCAAAGUGUUUUAAAACAAAUAGAAUGCAAUAAAAUUUGAUGUGUUUAAGGGCACUACAGGCUGAGAUUAGAAAGCUAUUAGGUUUCUUCUCCUAUAGACCUCAGAGAUAAACUAACACAAACAAUUUACUUCCUUGACUUCUAAAGAUUAUUUGCUGGUAAAAUGGAUUGAUAUCCUUUCACAUAAACACACUUGUGGUUUAGACCACACUGACAUUUUUGCCCUCCACUUUGAAUAACACUGGCCAGUUUUUGUUCCAAGAUUAUCCUUAGUUAAUAAUGAUCUCAGAUGAUUUUUGGUCUAGAUAUAACACUUUUAAUACUGAAAAGGAAUGAGCACUUGGUCUCCUACAGAUGCUAACACCAUUGCCACGAUGUCAACUCAUCUCUCUUUGGCCUUUGGUUGGCCUCUUCAUAUCUAAUUGGAUGGUUGGAUUUUUCUUGAAAACCAGCAAAAAGAUUUGUUAGCUUCUAGAUAAAAGGGUUCUAAUGAAAAAUGUUCCAAUAUCUCAGCUUAUGUAUCCCACUCUAUCUUUCAAUGCUUUGUUUAAAAGUCUCAUCUGUUAUUUGUUAGUUUUAAUCCAGGUACUUUUCACAGUUUUGCAGACCAGCUAGAACAUGGGCAUUGUGUUUAGGCCUGGUUUGAAUCUUGGUUCUGUCCUUCACUACCUGUGUGGCUUUGGGCAAUUCAUUUGACUUCUCUGAAUCUCAGUUUCCUCAUCCAUAGUAGAGAAGAAAUACCUGACUCGCAGUGUUGUUGGUUGUUGUGAGGGUAAAUGAGAUACAUAAAAAAAGCACCCAAUAAUGGGUUUAUAACAUGGAGGGCAAUCAAUCAACAUAUUAGCUAAUUAAGUCUGUCAUAAAAGUUUAUCUUUCAUUUAAAUAUUUAGUUUUUUUGACCAAAAAAGUGAAUUUACUAGACUACAGCUUGGCACAUUUUUUAAAUACCCAAGCUCAAUGAAAUUGAGUUUAUUGUAGUGUAAAAAGCAAAAAUAGUAUUCUAGCACAAUUUCCUAAAGUAUAAAUUGGGACUAUUACUUGAUAGGAAGUUUCAAAUGCUCACAUCAAUGUGAGAAACACUGGACUAAAAGAUUUAUUUACUGUAGGACUACUCAGCACCUUAAAAUGCAAAUAUAUCCCUGAAUGUCCCAGCAGUAUAUGAUAUUCAGCAGUGACUACAGAAGUCCCUUUUCUCAAGUGAUUAGCAUUCCCUGGAAUACACUUUGGGAAGCUGUUCUAAGACAAACCUCAAACGAAUUGGAAAUUUUCAUGACAUUUUUUUCAAACAGCCCAUUUCAUUGAUAAUCAUAACCAUCUAAUAUAAAGAGAAAUGUGUAGGUUUAUUUAUGUAACAUUUAAUUAUGUACUAUUUGCAGAUUUCAAUACUUUUUUCUAAUUUAUGACUUCAUAAAAUAACUAUUUGCACUGUGAUAUUUAUUACAAGAAGUUACCAUAUGUAUACUUUAACUGCAAUGGUAUAAAAGAAAUUUAUUGUCCACGUAUAAUUCCGAAUGGGAAGUUCCUAAAUUUGGGAACAAAGAAAGAAAGCACAAGAAGAAAAUAACUCCUGUUCUUUCAUAAACAAGCUGCAGAUCAUUAUGAACCCUUUCUUUUUCUUGCUAUAAACAAUUUUCCAUAUUAUUCUUCAAGUAAGAUGCAUGUAUAGACCUGGUAAAGCUGAUUCAAAAGCUGUAUUAUGGUAAUAUUUUAAUAUGAAAAUGUGGGAAAGGAUAUUCAUAUGGGAGGUGUGUAGGAAAUUGCCUUUGCUAAAAUCUUUAAUUAUGUUGUCAUUUAU